UGUUGGCGUGGCCCAGAAGGCUUAGCGGGAUUGCACGAGGUUAGUUGCUAAGCAAGGUGGUCUUUGGUCAACUGCCGCCUGGACCAAGGCAACAGGAAGUGGAUCUCACAAGAUCCUUUUCAUUUCGGAACUCAAAGCAGACAUACUCUGGGGUUCCCAUCAUUGCUGCCAAUAUGGAUACUGUGGGCACCUUUGAGAUGGCCAAGGUUCUCUGUAAGUUCUCUCUCUUCACUGCUGUCCAUAAGCACUAUAGCCUCGUUCAGUGGCAAGAGUUUGCUGGCCAGAAUCCUGACUGUCUUGAGCAUCUGGCUGCCAGCUCAGGCACAGGCUCUUCUGACUUUGAGCA
rnacentral:lncRNA from 1 species